GAUGAACGCUGGCGGCGUGCUUAACACAUGCAAGUCGAACGAGAAUCUACGGAUAGAGGAUUCGUCCAAUUGAAGUAGAGGAAAGUGGCGGACGGGUGAGUAACGCGUGAGGAACCUGCCUAGGAGUGGGGAAUAACAGUCCGAAAGGACUGCUAAUACCGCAUAAUGCAGUUGGGUCGCAUGGCUCUGACUGCCAAAGAUUUAUCGCUCUUAGAUGGCCUCGCGUCUGAUUAGCUAGUUGGUAGGGUAACGGCCUACCAAGGCGACGAUCAGUAGCCGGACUGAGAGGUUGGCCGGCCACAUUGGGACUGAGACACGGCCCAGACUCCUACGAGAGGCAGCAGUGGGGAAUAUUGGGCAAUGGGCGCAAGCCUGACCCAGCAACGCCGCGUGAAGGAAGAAGGCUUUCGGGUUGUAAACUUCUUUUAACAGGGACGAAGAAAGUGACGGUACCUGUUGAAUAAGCCACGGCUAACUACGUGCCAGCCGCCGCCGUAAUAC
rnacentral:rRNA from 1 species